UGAAACAUUCGUACAUAAAUAGGAAUAUAAAAAAGGAUUAAACCUUUUCAAAAUGAUUAAACCUACCUUUUACUUUUGAGUAUGAGAAUUAAAUUUUCUAAAUUAGAAACUAUUAUCUCUUAAAAAAGCUAGAAAGUCCCAAGACUCCUCUAGCCACCUUCAAGCACUUCUCUCACUUCCAUAAUUUCCAUGCUUACAUUUUCUCUCAUCCUCCACGCUAAACCACUCCUCCGCUGCCACAUUUUAAGCUUCUCGUGCGCGCCUCAGCCACGUUAUCACGCUUCAGCCACGUCGUGUAACAUAUUCCUUCUCUCGCUGCCACGCGUGGAAGUCUCAUUUCCUUUCCUAUCACACGUUCGAUAGAGCACUUUCAUUUCUCACAGCCUCACUCUCAUUUCUCUCCAUUUCGGUUUCACGGCGUCUUCACUCUCUUGAGAGAUCUUCAUUGGCCAGCCAAGGCUUGAAAAAAUUCGCCUGCACUCAUCUUUCACCACUUCAGAAACCAUUAUACAUGGAAUUGCAAUUUUGUGGCCUUAGAAGAAAGAGAGACUUGCUUAGUAGUGGCGUGGAACCAAUACUCUUUGCACUGCAAAAUUCUAGCCAUAAGCUCAAAUGGUGGGGAAGUGAAAUUGACCAUUGCCCCUUGGCCACUUGCCCAACUGUACCUGGAAUUGUGGUUGAUGGGUGUCCAGUAUUAAAAUUGGAUUUCUGAUUCUAAUUUUCCACAGAGAACUCAAAUAAGGAUUCAGACUUUGUAUUUUUAGAAUUUAGAAACCCAACCUUGGCUAGCUUUAGAAACUUGUUUCUUUUUUCCAGUUCGUCCUCUUUUUCUUUUAUGUGAGUCAUUUUAGAAGCUUCAAGCUUCUUCUUCUCUCUAAUAUGACUUAACAAAAAAUAUGUCAUAAUAUAUUAAAUCUAUGACUUAACAAAAAAUAUGUCAUGAUAUAUUAAAUCUAUUAUAACGUAAAUUUUUGCUACGUGUCUACUAUCACCUCAAAACUAUGUUUAUCACCUCAAAACUAUGUUUAUCACCUCAAAACUAUGUUAUGCAAAAAUGAAGUUAUAACAGAUCAUUUUGAUACGGCAUAAUUAUGAUUUCUGAGUGAGUAUAUUUUGGCUUUCACUUUUUUUUCAUUAAAAAUGCAAAGGGAUUGUUGCAUUUUGAUUAUGUCUAAUUCAUUUUGUCAUGUUCACUAAUUAAUAACAUUGAUUUUAUUUUAUUGACAGAUUCUUUAUUAUUAAUAAUUUUGAUAUAACUGGUAGAUUUUAACAAUUACCAACCGUUUAGAUUGAUCAAAAUAUAAUACAUAUUAUAAUAAAAUGCAAUUAAAUAGUAUACAUAUAAUGUAGAUAAUGAGUUGUUUAGUUUUCACAUAUUUUAUAUACUAUAUAAAUUAUAUAUAAUCAAUUUUUUUAUUUUAUUUUCUAUUCAUUUGUUUAGUAUGUUUUGAUAUUAUCUAUAAUUAUAAAUAAUAUAUCUUGAUUGCAUGAAUUUUUUUUUCUUGAUAUGGUAUUAAAAGUGUCUUUUUCUCAUUCAUUUUAAUAUUAUUUUUUUUCUGUCAUCAAUGUCAUAGGUGAAAACUCUUAUGUCUAAUGGUCCACCGUUUUUAGUAAUAUGAUUAUAUUUAUUUUACAAGCCAGUCAUUUUUUUCAAUGGUUUUAUUUUUAUUUUUUCCUUUUUCAUCAAUCAUUUUAUUAUGCUUUUACUCUUAUUAAUAAAAUCCAUGUAUUAUCUAUCAAUAUGUUAUUCUGGUAGUACGUAUGAAUGAUGUUGAACUUUAUCCUACAUUAGUGUUUUAUAAUUUUUUUUAACUUAAUUCAAUCUUGGUUUGUUUUUUUUCAAUGUCUUAUUAGUGUAUGAUGAUUUGUUAGUCACCUUUCUUAAAGAUUUUUUUUUUUAUCCAAGAGAUGCUUCACUCCAAGAAGAUUGUCAAUGGUAAUUUUACUAAAGAAUUGUAUAUGUUGUUUGUUUUCAAACUUUUUACAAAAUAAUUGUAAUUUUGCUUCUUGUAAUAUUAGUAUAAAUACUAUAUGUUCUUGUAAAAAUGUUAAUAUUUGACAUGCAAGAUUUGUAGAUGUAUACCAUAAAUUCCUUUAACUCUUAAUAGUAAUGACAUUCCUUUUGUUAUUUCACAUAAUUUUUCUAAUUUUAAUUGUCAAAUUUGUCAUCUUGCUAAAGUUUAGAAGAUUAUUUUUUCAUAGGAGUCUAGAUCAUUAUUUUGAUAUAAUGUAUUGUAAUCCUACAUUCAAAGAUAAUCUAAAGUAUGUAAAAAGGAAAACUAUUUGUCUGAGUAUAUAUGCUUUAGUACCUCACACCCUUAUCCUUUUCAAAAAAUUUAUUCUUUGAACAAACUCAAUUCACGGUACAAAACUUUUAUCAAUUACGAUACGAAAAAGCGUAUAAUUGUGAGUUGGGAUUUUCUGUACGUAGUACAUAAUGGGUAGACUAGAAUUAUGCAAGGAAUGGAUUGGAUGGAUGCAUGCAUGUUUGGGGUCUACAUUUUUUUGUUGGUAAAUGGGAAUGUGACUCAAGAACUCAAACCAAUAAGAGGUUUAAGACAGGGAAACCUGAUGACCCCAUUCCUAUACCUAAUAGUAGCUCAGUGGUUGGCUGGGAUGGUGAGACAUGCUAUUAGAAAGCAAAUGCUUGAAGGUGUAACAAUUGGAACCAAUGCAAUUAGGGUUAACUUGCUCCGAUUUGCAUGUGACACUUUUUGUAUUUCAAGGACUUCAGCAAAUAUAUUGGUAGUUAGUUUUUGGGAUUUUGAUAAAAAGUACAUGUAAAUAUAGAUAAUAGUAUAUAUUAUAUAGAUUGAGUUGAGUAGAGACUACAAUUGAAUUUCAUCUUAUUCUACUGUACCAUUACUAUCUUGUCUAUUUAAUAUGUAAAUCCUUCAAUGUCAUGAAAGUACUCUUAAAGAUA